rnacentral:rRNA from 1 species
GAUGAACGCUGGCGGCGUGCCUAAUACAUGCAAGUCGAGCGAACGGACGAGAAGCUUGCUUCUCUGAUGUUAGCGGCGGACGGGUGAGUAACACGUGGAUAACCUACCUAUAAGACUGGGAUAACUUCGGGAAACCGGAGCUAAUACCGGAUGAUAUUUUGAACCGCAUGGUUCAAAAGUGAAAGACGGUCUUGCUGUCACUUAUAGAUGGAUCCGCGCUGCAUUAGCUAGUUGGUAAGGUAACGGCUUACCCAGGCAACGAUGCAUAGCCGACCGGAGAGGGUGAUCGGCCACACUGGAACUGAGACACGGUCCAGACUCCUACGGGAGGCAGCAGUAGGGAAUCUUCCGCAAUGGGCGAAAGCCUGACGGAGCAACGCCGCGUGAGUGAUGAAGGUCUUCGGAUCGUAAAACUCUGUUAUUAGGGAAGAACAUAUGUGUAAGUAACUGUGCACAUCUUGACGGUACCUAAUCAGAAAGCCACGGCUAACUACGUG